AAAAACCAUUCUGCCUGUCCCAACAUCCACAGAGCCUCCACUUUGCUCCUGGGUGAGCAGGCCCAGGAGCAUUUGGGUCCUGGGUGCUUCAAUUUCGUCCCUGGUCAUGCCAGGUCAAGAUCAUGGACAAAGACAGGCCUAGACCAGAACUAGAGCUUCCCAGACAGAGAACCCAAGCAUAAGAAGAGUGCCUCAAAUGGUCUUGUAGAUGAAGGAUGCUGGGAGAACACUUCAUUCCAACCCCAACUAACUCAGAACAAGGACAGUGGGAACGCAUAGCAGAGGUGGUCAGUUCUACAGAGGACUCAGGAAAAAGCCAAGCUAUCUCAGCUUUUGAUGCAUGUUCCAGUCCAGGAUCUGGGACCUUGCUCUCUGCAGGUUUACCUCCCUUUGAUCGACCCUCAGAUAGGGAAAAUUUGCAUGGAGCAUACUUCAAAACAGAGGUUGAGGUCUCACCGGAUGGAACUCUGUAUGCUUCACUGGUCCCAUGAUUCAGAGGUCAGAAACAUUCUCGUCCCAUUGUCUUCAAGAUACCAGCUGGCGUCUUCUCUCCACACCUUGCAUUGAUUUUCCUCCUUGUCCCACUUCACUGUGUGAAUACUGAAGUUUUCUUUGGAAAAGGCACCAAACUCACAGUUCUAGAAUUUUCUGGAAGGGUGCAAGAAGUGUUGGAAGUGGACUGUGUCUUGCAUAAAAGAAGUGAUUCUUGAACUCCAGCCUAAAUCCCAGCUGGGCUUAGCAGACAAUGGGAGGUUUUGAGGUGGACCUGGGCGGCUGUGUUCUGGAAACGUCCUUCAUUUUGGGGAGGGAAGCCGGCUCAUUGUGGUAGAGGACCUGAGCAAGGUGACCCCACCCACGGUCAACGUGUUCGAGCCAUCAGAAGCAGAGAUCGCCCAGAAACAAAAGGCCACCCUCGU